rnacentral:rRNA from 1 species
AACGCUGGCGGCGUGCUUAACACAUGCAAGUCGAACGGUAAGGCUCCAGCUUGCUGGGGUACACGAGUGGCGAACGGGUGAGUAACACGUGGGUGACCUGCCCUGCACUUCGGGAUAAGCCUGGGAAACUGGGUCUAAUACCGGAUAGGACCGCACCGUGAGGGUGUGGUGGAAAGUUUUUUCGGUGUGGGAUGGGCCCGCGGCCUAUCAGCUUGUUGGUGGGGUAAUGGCCUACCAAGGCGGCGACGGGUAGCCGGCCUGAGAGGGUGGACGGCCACAUUGGGACUGAGACACGGCCCAGACUCCUACGGGAGGCAGCAGUGGGGAAUAUUGCACAAUGGGCGGAAGCCUGAUGCAGCGACGCCGCGUGGGGGAUGACGGCCUUCGGGUUGUAAACUCCUUUCACCAUCGACGAAGGGUUUCUGACGGUAGAUGGAGAAGAAGCACCGGCUAACUACGUG